GUUUCUUCGCAGGCGCGGCUGGAGGCCCUUUUUCUCUUCAACGCAACUUCUUCUCUGUAGAUCAUCAUCACUCACGCGUUCAUGCGUCAAACCGUGAAUCUAAGCCAUUAUUCCCAUCAUCCCCUCCCUCCGUUUUGUUAUUGUCGAAGCGUGUCAUCUCAGGAUUGUUUCUCAUUCUCAUGCACUGCCGCUGCUCUGAAGACCUAAUUUUGAGAAGCUUAAAGAUGGAAUUCCGUCAAUUUCUCGACAAUCAAUCAGGUUUUUGGGUGGCGCAGGUGUGAGAUUGAUGCCACUUUGAGGAGGUGGGCAACUCAAACAUGAAGAUAACUUUUCUUAUAAGAUUUACUUGGGAUUAUGAGCUUAUACCACCAAAUAUGGAUGAAGAUCUUAUGAGAAACCAUGAGCCUCUUCAAUUUACUAUUAUGACGAAGGAGGCUAGAGGCUGAUAGGUUCUUCACAAGCAACUUCAAUGUGCAUGCAUAAACCAAUAAGUCUGGUCAAGUUGUUAGAACCAUGUUCACUGAUUAGCUUUAUUAUGUUGUGUUUAUGUAAUUCUUGCUCUGGCCUUAGCAUUAGAGUAAUAUACAUGCUCUCAUAGUAUCAUUGUCGUAAUUAUUCUCUUUCAAGAGUAUCAUUCUAUCUAUCAAUAUAUAAAAUUAAUGUUUUGAUUUAAGUAUCAUUAUAUUAUGUGGCUAGAAGAAUAAUACUCUUUUGUAAAUCGAUACAUUGGACUCUCAUUGACCCUUCAUGCAGGAACAUGGCUAUCUAUGCUAUCAAGAAGAAGAAACAACAUGAAAAGAGGGUAGAUAAUUUGAACUAGGGAGCAGUGCUGAUUGGUUCCAUAAUUUGAAAUCAUCAUGCUGCUAGAGGGUAGAUAAUCUAAGAUAUUUGUUCAAUUUAAAAAUGAAUGUUGGGAGAGCGAAGUUAGUGAUAACACUUUAAGUUCUAAUGUAUUUGUGAUGUAUCUCAGUGAAUAAGUGAUAAUUGGUGAUUUUGUUUCCUUCUCUGUUAAUGUGAAAUCUGGGUUUGAAAUU